rnacentral:rRNA from 1 species
AUUGAACGCUGGCGGCAGGCCUAACACAUGCAAGUCGAACGAGCGGCGGACGGGUGAGUAAUGUGUGGGAAACUGCCUGAUGGAGGGGGAUAACUACUGGAAACGGUAGCUAAUACCGCAUACCAUCAGGUGUUCCAAUAUGGGAUUAGCUAGUUGGUGGGGUAACGGCUCACCAAGGCGACGAUCCCUAGCUGGUCUGAGAGGAUGAACAGCCACACUGGUACUGAGACACGGUCCAGAUUCCUACGGGAGGCAGCAGUGGGGAAUAUUGCACAAUGGGCGCAAGCCUGAUGCAGCCAUGCCGCGUGUAUGAAGAAGGCCUUCGGGUUGUAAAGUACUUUCAGCGGGGAGGCGUUACCCGCAGAAGAAGCACCGGCUAACUCCGUGCCAGCCGCCGCGGUAAUAC